AUGGCGAGGAAGUGCUCCCACUGUGGCAACUACGGCCACAACUCAAGAACUUGCAGCAGCACAGGAAAGCAGGGAGAAAUUAUGCUCUGCGAAGGAGGUGGCGGCAGCAGCAGCGGUAGUGGGCUGAGGCUCUUCGGGGUGCAGGUCCAUGUCGCUGCGGGCCGCAGCACCGGCCUCGGCGCCUCCAUGAGGAAGAGCUACAGCAUGGACUGCCUGCAGCUCGCGGUGGCCCCUAGCUCCAUCGUCUCGCCUUCGUCGUCGUCUUCCUCGUCGGUGCUUCUGUCCAUCGAUGAGGGCUUGGAGAGGGCUUCCAAUGGGUACCUGUCUGACGGUCCUCAUGGCAGAUUAGUCCAGGAGAGGAAGAAAGGAGUUCCAUGGAGCGAAGAGGAGCACCGGCUAUUCCUCGUGGGCCUCGAGAAGCUGGGAAAGGGCGACUGGCGAGGUAUCUCCCGGAGCUACGUCACGACUCGAACCCCGACGCAGGUUGCCAGCCACGCGCAGAAGUUCUUCCUGAGGCAGAGCAGCAUGGGGAAGAAGAAGCGCCGCUCCAGCCUCUUUGACAUGGUACCGAUCUGCGAGAACGGCAUUCGCGUUUCUGAGCCGCUGACCAACAACGGCGAAGGUGCCUCCACCUCUCUGCCGCGGUAUAAAUCCCCCGACAUGUCCAUUGAUCUCAACUCCACGCAGGAGGAUGACAUGGCGAUGGCGGGGGUUCCACUUUUGUCGGAGUCACCGAGGGCGCCAUUCCCGGCGGUUCUGAUGGAGCAGCCUCCUCAUGGCCACGGGCACGGUCACCACUGCUCCCCGCUGGACCUGGAGCUGGGCAUGUCUCUCUCGCCGCCGUCCAUCGGAACAUGA
rnacentral:rRNA from 1 species